rnacentral:rRNA from 1 species
CUGAUGGAGCAACGCCGCGUGAGUGAUGAAGGUUUUCGGAUCGUAAAACUCUGUUGUAAGGGAAGAACAAGUACGUUAGGAAAUGAACGUACCUUGACGGUACCUUAUUAGAAAGCCACGGCUAACUACGUGCCAGCAGCCGCGGUAAUA